rnacentral:lncRNA from 1 species
UCAAGUCUGCUUCGAACUGGCUAGGGUCAUUCAUUGGGACAAAGGUAUUGCCAUUGUCACUCUUUAUUUGUGUUAAUGCAAUCAAUAGUUACUAAGUGUGAUUUUUUUGCUUAUCUUCAAUUGCAUGUUUGUACUUGGCAUUUUUAAGCUUGGUAUGACAAAGGCAUUUUAUUCUACUAGCCAAACACUUUUAUCCUUUGCUACACAUUUUGAGCCCUAAUUUUUGGUUAAUACCGCUUUUGGAAUCAGAAAUAGAGUUAGG